rnacentral:rRNA from 1 species
GACGAACGCUGGCGGCGUGCUUAACACAUGCAAGUCGAACGGGCCUGUCUUCUUUUUUGGGGGUGGGUUGAGUGGCGAACGGGUGAGUGUCACGUGAGUAACCUGCCCUUCGGUCCUGGAUAACCGCUUGAAAGGGCGGCUAAUACGGGGUGGUCCGGUUGGUCCGCAUGGGCUGGUCGGGAUAGAUUCACUGUUUUUGGUGUUUCGGCGGGGGAUGGGCUCGCGGCCUAUCAGCUUGUUGGUGGGGUGAUGGCCUACCAAGGCGGUGACGGGUAGCCGGCCUGGGGGGGUGGGCGGCCACACGGGGACUGGGAUACGGCCCAGACUCCUGCGGGAGGCAGCAGUGGGGGGUAUGGCACAAUGGGCGGAAGCCUGAUGCAGCGACGUCGCGUGAGGGAUGGAGGCCUUCGGGUUGUGAACCUCUGUUUCCGGUGGUGAAGGCCCUGUCCGUGUGGUGGGGUUGACGGUAGCCGGGGAUGAAGCGCCGGCUAACUACGUG